GGAAUANUNGGUCAAUGCUCSCAAGAGUGAACAAGCUAACUGAGAUCACACUCUAGAGGUGUUUGAUAACGUAGAGUAGUAUAAUGACUUAAAUCUACUAUUAGUGUCGUCUAAAGUUCUGGUGCCAGAAGACUCGGUAACGCCUGAGACGCGAACGUUAGCCAUCAUGAAUGGGCAUAAAGGGUUUGUAGGCAGCUUCGAAAGACCUUAGUUUUUAAAUCUAAAUUAAGGGCCUAAUUGCGAAGAUAGAAUCAUAUAGAGGUUAAGAUAAUACUUAGUGUAAGGUUGAUAUCCACAAAACCUAUGGGGAAUACUAAAUGCGAAGGCUCUUUUCCAAAUAAAAAGGAUAGAUAAUUAUCUAUAGAUUGACGCUGAGACACGAAGGUGUGGGAAGGAAAUAGGAUUAGAUACCCUCGUACUCCACACUGUAAACGAUGAAUGGCUGGUGUUUAUCAUAUCAUGAAUAAGCGCCGAUGUGAAAGACGAUGACCAUUCCGCCUUGCUAGUAUACCUGCAAAAGUGAAAGCAAAAAAAUUAGUCGGUCUUAAAGCAAACGAAGUGNAGC
rnacentral:rRNA from 1 species